GGCAGAGAAUGCAAACGUUAUUCGGAAUUACUAAGCGUAAAGCGCGUGUAGGCGACUGCGCAAGUCGGGUGUGAAAGCCCUGAGCUCAACCCAGGAAGUACACUCGAAACUGCAUAGCUAAAAUCUCGGAGAGGAAGGCAGAAUUCUGGGUGUAGAGGUGAAAUUCGUAGAUAUCCAGAAGAACACCGAUGGCGAAGGCGGCCUCCUGGACGAGAACUGACGCUGAGACGCGAAAGCGUGGGGAGCAAACAGG
rnacentral:rRNA from 1 species